AGCCAGACUCCUACGGGAGGCAGCAGUGGGGAAUAUUGCACAAUGGGGGAAACCCUGAUGCAGCGACGCCGCGUGAGUGAAGAAGUAAUUCGUUAUGUAAAGCUCUAUCAGCAGGGAAGAAAAUGACGGUACCUGAGUAAGAAGCCCCGGCUAACUACGUGCCAGCAGCCGCGGUAAUACGUAGGGGGCAAGCGUUAUCCGGAUUCACUGGGUGUAAAGGGAGCGUAGACGGCGACGCAAGUCUGGAGUGAAAGCCCGGGGCCCAACCCCGGGACUGCUCUGGAAACUGCGUCGCUGGAGUACGGGAGGGGCAGGCGGAAUUCCUGGUGUAGCGGUGAAAUGCGUAGAUAUUAGGAGGAACACCAGUGGCGAAGGCGGCUUACUGGACAGUAACUGACGUUGAGGCUCGAAAGCGUGGGGAGCAAACAGGAUUAGAUACCCGGGUAA
rnacentral:rRNA from 1 species